GCCUGAACAACAGGAACAUUUUGUCUCCUGAGACACCAAUAUGCUGAAUCAAUAGAGUCAUGGUUUUCAGCCCAAUAUCUGUCCCCAUUAGAGUGGGCAAGUAACUCAGUGUUUGUUUAAAAUGAGAACUUUUUAAGUGACUCACAUGUUUGUUCCAUUGCUUCAAAGGAUUGUUCCACGCUGGCAAAAUCUCCCAUGGAAAGUUGAAGAGAAAAUUUAAGGAAGAUCUGCAGUUUUCAGAGUUUUGCAUUGCUUGCUUCUGACUUACUCAGGACUUGCCAUGCAGAGUAACCAGUGAGCACCUCCUGCCCUGCCCUGCUGUGCUGCCCGAGGGAUGGGUCUCCAGGGUGAGAUCUCUGCCAAGCUCAGCUCUUGCUAAGACCAGCCCCAGGAUCUUCAGCUAUUUGAUGCCCACUGAGGUUUCCUCACACUGGCUCUUACCCACCAUGGUGUCUCCUCAAGCCUGGCCCCAAGGAGGAAGAGGAUUUUGGUGAGUUGUGUGCCUGGCAUUUCUGAUUUUAACAUCCUGCUUGACCUUUGCCAGCCACAGCCUCCCUCAUCACUCAGAAUUCACUGUCUGAGCUCUCUGGGGCUGGGCUUUUGUUCAGGGUGCAAAUCCUAAGGCACAGUGCAUAACUCUGAUGUUUGGGCUCUUGAUUUGCUGACAUGUG